GACGAACGCUGGCGGUGUGCUUAACACAUGCAAGUCGAACGGUAAGGCCCUUUCGGGGGUACACGAGUGGCGAACGGGUGAGUAACACGUAAGUAACCUGCCCUCAUCUCUGGGAUAACAGUCGGAAACGGUUGCUAAUACUGGAUAUGAGCCUGCAAGGCAUCUUGUGGGUUGGAAAGAUUUUUUGGUUGGGGAUGGACUCGCGGCCUAUCAGCUUGUUGGUGAGGUAGUGGCUCACCAAGGCUUCGACGGGUAGCCGGCCUGAGAGGGCGACCGGCCACAUUGGGACUGAGAUACGGCCCAAACUCCUACGGGAGGCAGCAGUGGGGAAUAUUGCACAAUGGACGGAAGUCUGAUGCAGUAACGCCGCGUGCGGGAUGACGGCCUUCGGGUUGUAAACCGCUUUCAAUUGUGACGAAGCUUUUUGUGACGGUAGCAGUAGAAGAAGCACCGGCUAACUACGUG
rnacentral:rRNA from 1 species